rnacentral:rRNA from 1 species
UACGGAGGGGGCUAGCGUUGUUCGGAAUUACUGGGCGUAAAGCGCACGUAGGCGGCUUUGUAAGUUAGAGGUGAAAGCCCAGGGCUUAACUCUGGAAUUGCCUUUAAGACUGCAUCGCUAGAAUCGUGGAGAGGUGAGUGGAAUUCCGAGUGUAGAGGUGAAAUUCGUAGAUAUUCGGAAGAACACCAGUGGCGAAGGCGACUCACUGGACACGUAUUGACGCUGAGGUGCGAAAGCGUGGGUAGCAAACAGG